UACAGAGGUCCCAAGCGUUGUUCGGAUUCACUGGGCGUAAAGGGUGCGUAGGCGGUCGGGUAAGUCUGACGUGAAAUCUCCAAGCUCAACUUGGAAAUGGCGUCGGAUACUAUUCGGCUCGAGGAAUGGAGGGGAGACUGGAAUUCUCGGUGUAGCAGUGAAAUGCGUAGAUAUCGAGAGGAACACCAGUGGCGAAGGCGAGUCUCUGGACAUUUUCCUGACGCUGAGGCACGAAAGCCAGGGGAGCAAACGGG
rnacentral:rRNA from 1 species